rnacentral:rRNA from 1 species
GGGUCCUUCGGGAUUAGUGGCGGACGGGUGAGUAACACGUGGGAACGUGCCUUUAGGUUCGGAAUAGCUCCUGGAAACGGGUGGUAAUGCCGAAUGUGCCCUUCGGGGGAAAGAUUUAUCGCCUUUAGAGCGGCCCGCGUCUGAUUAGCUAGUUGGUGAGGUAAAGGCUCACCAAGGCGACGAUCAGUAGCUGGUCUGAGAGGAUGACCAGCCACAUUGGGACUGAGACACGGCCCAAACUCCUACGGGAGGCAGCAGUGGGGAAUCUUGCGCAAUGGGCGAAAGCCUGACGCAGCCAUGCCGCGUGAAUGAUGAAGGUCUUAGGAUUGUAAAAUUCUUUCACCGGGGACGAUAAUGACGGUACCCGGAGAAGAAGCCCCGGCUAACUUCGUGCCAGCAGCCGCGGUAAUACGAAGGGGGCUAGCGUUGCUCGGAAUUACUGGGCGUAAAGGGAGCGUAGGCGGACAUUUAAGUCAGGGGUGAAAUCCCAGAGCUCAACUCUGGAACUGCCUUUGAUACUGGGUGUCUUGAGUAUGAUAGAGGUAUGUGGAACUCCGAGUGUAGAGGUGAAAUUCGUAGAUAUUCGGAAGAACACCAGUGGCGAAGGCGACAUACUGGAUCAUUACUGACGCUGAGGCUCGAAAGCGUGGGGAGCAAACAGGAUUAGAUACCCUGGUAGUCCACGCCGUAAACGAUGAUUGCUAGUUGUUGGGAUGUUU